CCAAUAUAUAAAUCUGAUUUUUUCAGAUGGAGUGGUGGUGGGCGUGUUUCAAUUAAAAGGGGAACCUCACUUCUUUUAAUCAAUUAUUCUCCACUGCAUCAAAACCCUAACCCUAACUAACAGUACACAAAAUCGGCAAUGGCUAAGAAGCGAAAGCACGAUUCCAAGGCAAGCGUAGAAUCGACUGAACCUCCAAAGAAGCAACAACAUCAAGAAGAGGAAACUGAAAAACAAGAACAGAAACAAGAAAUUGUAGAAGAAGAAACAGAAGAAUACGAACAAGUCGAAGAAGAAGUCGAAGAAGAACAAGAAGAGGAAGAGGAAGAGGAAGAGGAAGAAGAAGAUGAUCAAAAUCAAAAUCAGAUCGACGGUGGAGGUCAAGGUGAUGUUAAUAAUGAUUAUGAUGAUGAUGACCCGAUAGAGAACCUUCUAGAACCAUUUGGAAAAGAACAACUUGUGAAUCUUCUUAAAGAAGCUUCCGAUAAGCACCGUGACGUGGCGGAUCGGAUUAGAAAAAUAGCAGAUGCAGAUCCAGCUCACAGGAAGAUAUUUGUGCACGGACUUGGGUGGGACAGCACCGCUGAAACCCUUACUAAUGCCUUCAAGCAGUACGGUGAAAUUGAAGAUUGUAAGGCUGUUUGUGAUAAGGUUUCAGGGAAAUCCAAAGGUUAUGGCUUUAUACUUUUUAAGAAGCGGAGUGGGGCCCGCAAGGCAUUAGAGGAGCCUCAGAAGAAAAUUGGGAAUCGAAUGACUGCUUGUCAAUUGGCUUCGAUGGGUCCUGUUCCUACAUCUACCGCUCCAGCGAAUACCCCCGCUCCUGGUCAACAGCAGGUGUCUGAAUAUACACAGAGGAAGAUUUACAUUAGUAAUGUUGGGGCGGAUUUGGACCCGCAGCAGCUUACUAGUUUCUUUUCUAAGUUUGGAGAAAUUGAAGAAGGUCCACUUGGGUUAGAUAAAUUGACUGGUAAACCCAAAGGGUUCUGUUUGUUUGUGUAUAAGAGUGUUGAGAGCGCUAAAAAAGCUCUUGAAGAGCCACAUAAAAAUUUUGAAGGGCAUAUUUUGCAUUGUCAGAAAGCUGUUGAUGGACCAAAACAUGGUAAGUCUCAGCAGCAGCAACAGCAUCAUAAUGUGCAGAAGUCGCAUUUUCAAAGGAAUGGUAAUGCUGGUGGUUACAGUGGUAGAAAUGUUCCAGGUCCAGCUCAUUUAAUGGCGCCUGCUGCCCCACCGGGGAUUGGGUACCAAGGAGCCGCAGGAGCACCUGCUUUGAAUCCUGCACUUGGACAGGCAUUAACAGCACUGCUUGCUUCGCAAGGUGCUGGAUUGGGGCUUAAUUUGCUAGGAAGUUUGGGUUCUGCUGCUGCGGUUAACCAGGGUGGUGUACCUGGUGCUGCAGCUGGAAUGCAGGGUGCUUAUGGUAAUCAACCAAGUAUAAGCCCGGGAGUGAUUGGUUAUGGAAAUCAGGGAGUGAUGCAGGGUGGUUACUCAAGUCAGCAGAUAGGCCAGACUAGUUCUGGAAGAGGGCAGCAUGGUGGUGUUGGGCAAUAUGGUGGUGUGGGGCCUUAUAUGGGUCACUAGAUAUUGUCUCUCUUUGAUCCCUAUAGGUGCAUGCAUCAGUCUUUUAUAUAUUGGCCUGCCGAUUCUUCUGAAGUUUAUGGAGCUUAUGCAAAUGAAGUCUUUCAAAAUAUGAACAAAUGCUGCUUUUGGUUACUAGAAAGAGACUCUUAAAAUUUAAUUUGUGACACAGAACAAGGUGAUUGCAUUGGAGUUAAAGGUGAGAUUGAGUUAAAAGGCGAUUGCACUCUCAAUACUUGUUAUUUUACAUUCCUAGAAAGUUGAUAUGGGAGCAGGUGGGACCAAGAGAAUGCUGGAGUAGGCGAUUAAAUUAUUCAAAGGAACAGAAGCUCUGGCUGACGGUUUUGCCUUUGGGGUAUCUGGUUUUGUGAGAAGGCCUGUGGAGAUUGACAGAAAAAAUGAUCUCUUAGAAUUUAUUGUAUAAAUAGUUGGUGAGGCAUUAGAUGAUCUUUUUUUCCCUCACUAACAGUUGAUGGGAUCGGUGCAAGUUGUUCCAACUUCUUUUUUAGUUCUCAACUAAAUAUUCCCUCUCCCAGAGAAUUGGAAACCCUUGGACUGUUCAUGCUGAUUGGAUACUCGGCGAGAAUUUUCAGAAAGGAGCUGUUGAGCAGGUACAGUUGCUAUUGCUUGCUUAUAUAUUGGUUUGCUUUUAUCUGUAGUCAAUAUGUGAGAGAAUUUCUCAUAUAUUGAGGAUGGUUGGAGAUUCUAAUUGUUGAGAUGUAAGGUAUUUCUGCUUGUUACUUUGAAUUUUGGUAAGGUAGAAUUUUGACAAAUCCCAAUGAGAUUAGCAUCCUGAAGCAAAUUAUUUUUAACCAAUUCUUCCUUCUCGGGAAAAAUAUCUUCACACCAUCAGUGUCUUAAAGUCCAGGAUGAAAUAUGUAGGGUACGGUUAAAAGUUAUGAUUGUUGGGUUUUACAUGUUUCUGCUAGUUUGACAGAAUUCUGGCAAUUUUCAACUGAAAUAUUUACUGCAUUUUUAUCUGAAUAGCUUAGGGAAAAGCAAAUAACUAAUAUGUGAUUGAGAAGCUGGAUAGUUGGUCAUUAAUGCCGAAAUGGAUAUACCUGACAAAUCAAUGCAGCUUGAGAGGGAAGAUUGCUCCAUCAAUUUUUUGAUGACAAGUCCUGAAUUUUGUUGUAAAGCUUAUGUAUGAUCUCAUUAUGAUGUUAAUAGUGGAUUAGAAUUAGGUUGCAAUUGUAGAUUAUACAGCAGAUUUCAGUGGGUUCACUUGGCGGGUUGUUUUGGUGAGGGAUGGAACUUUGUAGAAAUUGCGAGCAGCGUUGCUGGUGUAGCUGCUUCACUUUCGGUGGUAGAAUGAUGUCAAUUCACAGGGGCUGUUACUUUUGUUUUAUAAGGAGUAUAUAUUAUGUGUUUAUUUAUUUAUGUUGAAAAACUGGCUGAAUCAGAAAUGUAUGUGUUUUUAUACAUGGGACCUAACUUUAAUUGGUCAUUUGAACA